rnacentral:rRNA from 1 species
AUCAUGAUUUACAUUUGAGUGAGUGGCGAACUGGUGAGUAACACGUGGGAAACCUGCCCAGAAGCGGGGGAUAACACCUGGAAACAGAUGCUAAUACCGCAUAACAACUUGGACCGCAUGGUCCGAGCUUGAAAGAUGGCUUCGGCUAUCACUUUUGGAUGGUCCCGCGGCGUAUUAGCUAGAUGGUGGGGUAACGGCUCACCAUGGCAAUGAUACGUAGCCGACCUGAGAGGGUAAUCGGCCACAUUGGGACUGAGACACGGCCCAAACUCCUACGGGAGGCAGCAGUAGGGAAUCUUCCACAAUGGACGAAAGUCUGAUGGAGCAACGCCGCGUGAGUGAAGAAGGGUUUCGGCUCGUAAAACUCUGUUGUUAAAGAAGAACAUAUCUGAGAGUAACUGUUCAGGUAUUGACGGUAUUUAACCAGAAAGCCACGGCUAACUACGUGCCAGCAGCCGCGGUAAUACGUAGGUGGCAAGCGUUGUCCGGAUUUAUUGGGCGUAAAGCGAGCGCAGGCGGUUUUUUAAGUCUGAUGUGAAAGCCUUCGGCUCAACCGAAGAAGUGCAUCGGAAACUGGGAAACUUGAGUGCAGAAGAGGACAGUGGAACUCCAUGUGUAGCGGUGAAAUGCGUAGAUAUAUGGAAGAACACCCAGUGGCGAAGGCGGCUGUCUGGUCUGUAACUUGACGCUGAGG